rnacentral:rRNA from 1 species
CAGUAGCCGCGGUAAUACGAAGGGGGCUAGCGUUGCUCGGAAUCACUGGGCGUAAAGGGUGCGUAGGCGGGUCUUUAAGUCAGGGGUGAAAUCCUGGAGCUCAACUCCAGAACUGCCUUUGAUACUGAAGAUCUUGAGUUCGGGAGAGGUGAGUGGAACUGCGAGUGUAGAGGUGAAAUUCGUAGAUAUUCGCAAGAACACCAGUGGCGAAGGCGGCUCACUGGCCCGAUACUGACGCUGAGGCACGAAAGCGUGGGGAGCAAACAGGAUUAGAUACCCCCGUAGUCCCUGUCUCUUAUAA